rnacentral:rRNA from 1 species
UACGGGGGGAGCAAGCGUUGUUCGGAUUUACUGGGCGUAAAGGGCGCGUAGGCGGUCAGCACAAGUCAGUUGUGAAAUCUCCGAGCUUAACUCGGAACGGUCAACUGAUACUGUGCGACUAGAGUGCGGAAGGGGCAACUGGAAUUCUCGGUGUAACGGUGAAAUGCGUAGAUAUCGAGAGGAACACCUGCGGCGAAGGCGGGUUGCUGGGCCGACACUGACGCUGAUGCGCGAAAGCCAGGGGAGCGAACGGG